AUUGAACGCUGGCGGCAUGCCUUACACAUGCAAGUCGAACGGCAGCACGGGAGCAAUCCUGGUGGCGAGUGGCGAACGGGUGAGUAAUAUAUCGGAACGUGCCCAGUCGUGGGGAUAACGUAGCGAAAGCUACGCUAAUACCGCAUACGAUCUACGGAUGAAAGCGGGGGAUCGCAAGACCUCGCGCGAUUGGAGCGGCCGAUAUCAGAUUAGGUAGUUGGUGAGGUAAAGGCUCACCCAAGCCGACGAUCUGUAGCUGGUCUGAGAGGACGACCAGCCACACUGGGACUGAGACACGGCCCAGACUCCUACGGGAGGCAGCAGUGGGGAAUAUUGGACAAUGGGCGAAAGCCUGAUCCAGCAAUGCCGCGUGAGUGAUGAAGGCCUUAGGGUUGUAAAGCUCUUUGUCCCGGGAUGAUAAUGACAGUACCGGGAGAAUAAGCUCCGGCUAACUCCGUGCCAGCAGCCGCGGUAAAG
rnacentral:rRNA from 1 species